UGCAGCUCAGUGGCAGAGGGCUUGCCUAGCUUGUUCAAGAGUCCUGGGUUCAAUCCCCAGCAGUGCAG
rnacentral:tRNA from 1 species